CUCCGAAGUUUCCCUCAGGAUAGCUGGCACUUGUCUCAUCACAGUUUUAUCCGGUAAAGCGAAUGAUUAGAGGUCUUGGGGCCGAAACAAUCUCAACCUAUUCUCAAACUUUAAAUGGGCCACUUUUGGUAAGCAGAACUGGUGCUGCGGGAUGAACUGAAUGCCGGGUUAAGGCACCUGAUGCCGACGCUCAUCAGACCCCAGAAAAGGUGUUGAUAUAGUCAGCAGGACAGUGGCCAUGGAAGGCGGAAUCCGAGUGUGAAGCCACCGCGGGUGCAGAUCUUGGUGGUACAGGUAUAGGACCCAUUAUCCAGAAUGCGAGGGACCAAGGGUAUUCCGGAUAAGGG
rnacentral:ncRNA from 1 species